rnacentral:rRNA from 1 species
UAGGGAAUCUUCCGCAAUGGGCGAAAGCCUGACGGAGCAACGCCGCGUGAGUGAUGAAGGUCUUCGGAUCGUAAAACUCUGUUAUUAGGGAAGAACAAAUGUGUAAGUAACUAUGCACGUCUUGACGGUACCUAAUCAGAAAGCCACGGCUAACUACGUGCCAGCAGCCGCGGUAAUACGUAGGUGGCAAGCGUUAUCCGGAAUUAUUGGGCGUAAAGCGCGCGUAGGCGGUUUUUUAAGUCUGAUGUGAAAGCCCACGGCUCAACCGUGGAGGGUCAUUGGAAACUGGAAAACUUGAGUGCAGAAGAGGAAAGUGGAAUUCCAUGUGUAGCAGUGAAAUGCGCAGAGAUAUGGAGGAACACCAGUGGCGAAGGCGACUUUCUGGUCUGUAACUGACGCUGAUGUGCGAAAGCGUGUGGAUCAAACAGG